rnacentral:rRNA from 1 species
GACGAACGCUGGCGGCGUGCUUAACACAUGCAAGUCGAACGGAAAGGCCCUGCUUUUGUGGGGUGCUCGAGUGGCGAACGGGUGAGUAACACGUGAGUAACCUGCCCUUGACUUUGGGAUAACUUCAGGAAACUGGGGCUAAUACCGGAUAGGAGCUCCUGCUGCAUGGUGGGGGUUGGAAAGUUUCGGCGGUUGGGGAUGGACUCGCGGCUUAUCAGCUUGUUGGUGGGGUAGUGGCUUACCAAGGCUUUGACGGGUAGCCGGCCUGUGAGGGUGACCGGCCACAUUGGGACUGAGAUACGGCCCAGACUCCUACGGGAAGCAGCAGUGGGGAAUAUUGCACAAUGGGCGGAAGCCUGAUGCAGCAACGCCGCGUGCGGGAUGACGGCCUUCGGGUUGUGAACCGCUUUCGCCUGUGACGAAGCGUGAGUGACGGUAAUGGGUAAAGAAGCACCGGCUAACUACGUG